rnacentral:rRNA from 1 species
UUCGGAUUGCAGGCUGCAACUCGCCUGCAUGAAGCUGGAAUCGCUAGUAAUCGCGGGUCAGCAUACCGCGGUGAAUGUGUUCCUGAGCCUUGUACACACCGCCCGUCAAGCCACGAAAGUGGGGGGCAUCCGAAGUCGCUGAGGUAACCGCAAGGAGCCAGGCGCCUAAGAUGAACUCUGCAAUUGGGACUAAGUCGUAACAAGGUAGCCGUAGGGGAACCUGCGGCUGGAUCACCUCCUUU